rnacentral:rRNA from 1 species
UGGGGAAUAUUGGACAAUGGGCGCAAGCCUGAUCCAGCCAUGCCGCGUGAGUGAUGAAGGCCUUAGGGUUGUAAAGCUCUUUUGUCCGGGACGAUAAUGACGGUACCGGAAGAAUAAGCCCCGGCUAACUUCGUGCCAGCAGCCGCGGUAAUACGAAGGGGGCUAGCGUUGCUCGGAAUCACUGGGCGUAAAGGGCGCGUAGGCGGCCAUUCAAGUCGGGGGUGAAAGCCUGUGGCUCAACCACAGAAUUGCCUUCGAUACUGUUUGGCUUGAGUAUGGUAGAGGUCGGUGGAACUGCGAGUGUAGAGGUGAAAUUCGUAGAUAUUCGCAAGAACACCAGUGGCGAAGGCGGCCGACUGGACCAUUACUGACACUGAGGCGCGAAAGCGUGGGGAGCAAACA